ACCGGGCUUGGUAGCGCUUGCUUGUAACCGAAGUGGGGGUACUAAAGUGGGUUGGACAUUGGCUCAGUCCAUUUCGGGUUGGGUCUGGUUUGCAUAAUCUGGCUUGCCCGUUCCAAGUUGAGAGUUGGUGUAUGUGGCUUGAGCGAAGGCUUGGGCUACAUGCACCCUAGACUAAGGGGCACUGCGUUAGGCUGGCUUCACAGAGCUGCGACAACCCUUGGCUCCUGACAGUGGUAGGAUAACAGGCUUGGGCUCAUCAGGCUCAAUGAGCCCGUCUGGUCUGACUCAAAUGAACACCCACUUUUUU
rnacentral:SRP_RNA from 1 species